UACGAGGGGGGCAAGCGUUGUUCGGAAUUAUUGGGCGUAAAGGGUGCGUAGGCGGUUUGGUAAGUCUUAUGUGAAAUCUACAGGCUCAACUUGUAGUCUGCAUGAGAAACUGCCGGGCUUGAGUAUGGGAGAGGUGAGUGGAAUUCCUGGUGUAGCGGUGAAAUGCGUAGAUAUCAAGCGGAACACCAGUGGCGAAGGCGAGUCCCUGGACAACUCCUGACACUGAGGCACGAAAGCUAGGGGAGCAAACAGG
rnacentral:rRNA from 1 species